GCCGGUGGCCAUGGCGGAGAGGAAAUACCCGUUCCCAUUCCGAACACGGAAGUCAAGCUCUCCUGCGCCGAUGAUACUGGGUCCGUCCCGGGAAAGUAGGAAGCUGCCGGCU
rnacentral:rRNA from 1 species